rnacentral:lncRNA from 1 species
UGUUGGUUUCUAUUUCCCUCACUGAGCAGCAACUGCAGUCACAAGACAUUGUUUUACAUUCCACAGUCUGUACUGUUGGAGUUUCUCACGGGAAAGGGAGACUGGAUGUGACGUACACUGGUUUCCUGUUUUUCACUCUGUGUGAUUCUCUCCAAGCUGUUGAGGAGAGAGGAUGCAUUUCUCUGCUCUGGCAGAGGCAAGAUGUCUUUCUGUAAUAUACCAGCUUUGAACUGUAAAUAAAGCAAUAAGGAGUAUG